rnacentral:rRNA from 1 species
GAACGCUGGCGGCAUGGCUAAAACAUGCAAGUCGAAGGAGAAGCCCCUUCGGGGGUGGACACUGGCGAAAGGGCGAGGAAUACAUUCGAACGUGCCCCAAGGUGGGGGAUAGCGUCGGGAAACCGGCAGUAAUACCCCAUGUGCUCUUCGGAGGAAAGCUUCGGCGCCUCGGGAGCGGCGAAUGUCCUAUCAGGUUGUUGGUGAGGUAACGGCUCACCAAGCCAAAGACGGGUAGCGGGUGUGAGAGCAUGACCCGCCGCAUCGGAACUGAGACACUGUCCGGACUCCUACGGGAGGCUGCAGUAACGAAUCUUCCGCAAUGCACGAAAGUGUGGCGGAGCAAUGCCGCGUGUGGGACGAAGCGGUUACGCCGUGUAAACCACUGUCAGGUUCUAGGAAGAACUGACCAGAACCAGAGGAAGGGCCGGCUAAUCUCGUGCCAGCAGCCGCGGUAAGACGAGAGGCCCGAGCGUUGAGCGGAAUCACUGGGCUUAAAGGGUGCGUAGGCGGAUUGGAAGGUGCUUUGUGAAAGCCCACGGCUCAACCGUGGAAUUGCAGAGCAAACCACCAGUCUUGAGGCAGGUAGAGGUCGUCGGAACGUUGGGUGGAGCGGUGAAAUGCGUAGAGAUCCAACGGAACGCCAAAGGUGAAGACAGGCGACUGGGCCUAGCCUGACGCUGAGGCACGAAAGCGUGGGGAGCAAACAGGAUUAGAUACCCUGGUAGUCCACGCCGUANACGAUGUGCACUGGGUCGGUGCGGUUCUAACGCCGUGCCGGCCGUAGAGAAAUUCUUAAGUGCACCGCCUGGGGAGUACGGUCGCAAGGCUAAUACUCAAGGGAAUUGACGGGGGCUCACACAAGCGGUGGAGCAUGUU